GGUGUGAUUUGUCUGGUUCAUUCCGAUAACGAACGAGACCUUUCCCUGUCAUACUACGAGUGCUGAUGUGAAUCGGUAGUCGUUCUAUGAGGGACUGACUGGGGUUAACAGUAGGAAGUUUGAGGCAAUAACAGGUCUGUGAUGCCCUUAGAUGUUCUGGGCCGCACGCGCGCUACACUGAUCGGUUCAGCAAGUUUUCAUUCUUUGGAGUGGAGUCCUUGACCGGAAGGUCUGGGUAAUCUGAAAAGGCGAUCGUGAUGGGGCUAGAUUUUUGCAAUUAUUAAUCUCCAACGAGGAACC
rnacentral:rRNA from 1 species